rnacentral:rRNA from 1 species
AUUGAACGCUGGCGGCAUGCUUUACACAUGCAAGUCGAGCGGCAGCGCGGGGGCAACCCUGGCGGCGAGCGGCGAACGGGUGAGUAAUGCAUCGGAACGUAUCCUCUUGUGGGGGAUAACCCACCGAAAGGUGGGCUAAUACCGCAUAAGCUCUGAGGAGGAAAGCGGGGGACCGAAAGGCCUCGCGGCUGGAGGAGCGGCCGAUGUCCGAUUAGCUAGUUGGUGAGGUAAAGGCUCACCAAGGCGACGAUCGGUAGCUGGUCUGAGAGGAUGAUCAGCCACACUGGGACUGAGACACGGCCCAGACUCCUACGGGAGGCAGCAGUGGGGAAUUUUGGACAAUGGGGGCAACCCUGAUCCAGCCAUGCCGCGUGAGUGAAGAAGGCCU